UCUCUCCUUCCUCAUGAUUAAAACCUUCCAGGAAUUUCUCAAACUGCAUCAGCCUGUCUUUUUCCCUUCCGACAGAUGAGUGGAAGAACCUAUGUGGUGAUAUUCUUCUUCUGGGCUCUCCUGACAAUCAUCACACCAACGCUAGUUCAUCUGUCUGAGUCCUCCAAACUCAAGCUGCGUCUAGAUGGUAAGAAUAAUGAAACAUUGAGGGCCAGAAAAGCAUUUGGAUUCCUGAAGAAACAGUUAGCAAGUAAACCGUCGGACAGGGCACGCACCAACGCACCAGUUCCAGCGCCGUUGCCGUCGCCAUCACCAUCACCAUCACCAGAACCUCAGCCAGCUCCUUCGAGGGUUGACAGAAAUCGACCUCAAUGAGAUUUUUGGAUGAGGAAAUCGACUCAGUGUCACAUGGAUUGAUCCUGCAAAAUCUCUCAGCUUUGAAGCUGCCACGCAUUGGACAAUGUUGAGCUAUAUACUUGGAUAUAAGUGGGUUGUGGAUCGAUUCAGAUUGAACAGCCAGAGACUGGAGGGCGAAGCGAAGUGUUCAUGGCUUGCGACACGCGUUCCUGGAACAGAGCUCCAUUCAUCAUCACAGCCUUGACAGAGGUGUUGAGGAUGAGUUCUUAAGUGAAUUAGCAAGAAAAAGAAAUUAUCCGACUUUAAACUGAGGUAUUUUGUUUUUCAGCAUGGCUCUUCAUGCAAAUCUGUCACUGAUGCACAUAGACCGAGAGAUUAAAUUGUUGAAAAGAUUCCGAUA